rnacentral:rRNA from 1 species
AAAACAGCGAUGUGGAGCAAACCCCUAAAAACGUUCUCAGUUCAGAUUGCAGGCUGCAACCCGCCUGCAUGAAGUCGGAAUUGCUAGUAAUCGCGGAUCAGCAUGCCGCGGUGAAUACGUUCCCGGGCCUUGUACACACCGCCCGUCACACCAUGAGAGUUAGGAAUACCCGAAGCCUGUGAGCCAACUUUUCAAGAGGCAGCAGUCGAAGGUAGAACUAAUGAUUGGGGUGAAGUCGUAACAAGGUACC